AUUGAACGCUGGCGGCAGGCCUAACACAUGCAAGUCGAGCGGAUGAAGGGAGCUUGCUCCUGGAUUCAGCGGCGGACGGGUGAGUAAUGCCUAGGAAUCUGCCUGGUAGUGGGGGAUAACGUCCGGAAACGGGCGCUAAUACCGCAUACGUCCUGAGGGAGAAAGUGGGGGAUCUUCGGACCUCACGCUAUCAGAUGAGCCUAGGUCGGAUUAGCUAGUUGGUGGGGUAAAGGCCUACCAAGGCGACGAUCCGUAACUGGUCUGAGAGGAUGAUCAGUCACACUGGAACUGAGACACGGUCCAGACUCCUACGGGAGGCAGCAGUGGGGAAUAUUGGACAAUGGGCGAAAGCCUGAUCCAGCCAUGCCGCGUGUGUGAAGAAGGUCUUCGGAUUGUAAAGCACCUUAAGUUGGGAGGAAGGGCAGUAAGUUAAUACCUUGCUGUUUUGACGUUACCAAAAGAAUAAGCACCGGCUAACUUCGUG
rnacentral:rRNA from 1 species